GUUUCUCCUUCCCAGAGUCCUCCUGGACUCCUAGUCCCACCUAUCUUGAUUCCCUAUUGGCCAGCAGUGCUUUAAUGACAAAUGCACAGGACUUCCCCCCCAACAUUGCUGUAGGCCUAGAUUGUUAAAUGUGAUUUGGAAAAGACCAUUUAAAUGCACAGUAUGUAAGAAGUAGUAAGAUCAGCCUAAAGAGAAAGAAAAGACUAGAGAAAACAAAACAAAACACUUAGACAGAAAGAGACUGGAAAACGGGAUGGGGAAACAUUUAUCGCAAGAAAGGAAGAGUGAAAUCCAGUCCAAGAAGAUGAGGGGGCCCUUCUUCUUCCAGGUUCAUUGGUCGCCAGUGUCACCAGUCCAUGAGGACAAAAGGGCAGAAAGACGGCCUGUGCACAUGGCAGAAACAGCCUUCUGGAAGAUGGCUUCGAAACAGGUCAGAGAUCUACAUCUUGGCACUGGAAAGGCCUCAGCCGAAGGGGGCUGCCAGCUAGGCCAUGCCCUGUCUGCCAACACCUAGACACUGGAAAUCAGAAUGCCCCCAUGCGGGCUCAUCCUAUAUGCCACGCCAUGGAGGUCCAGCCUCACCAAUACCGGCCAUCUGAGACUCUGCCAGCCUUCAAACUCCUCAGCCUGGUGGAGAAAUGAGGGAGCCUUGGAGACUCAUUCCCCUCUCCCAGCCUGACAAUAGCAUGUAAGUCCAUUGACUUUCUAUUGGGCUUGGGAGUUACCUAUUCUGUUUUGACCUCUCACUCGGGUCCCACAGUUCCCUUGCCAAUUCCUGUCACAGGGGUGGAUGGGACCCAUUCCUUCCCAUUUCGGAGAAACCUGGGACUGCUUGAGCUGGAAAGGCUGUCUCACUUCUGUUCAUCUACUCCUCCCUCUCAGGCCUAUCUGAUGGCGUUUGAUGAGCAGGGUACUGAGAGCUCACCAGCUCAUUAGUUAUGUUUCCUGCUAAAAAUACAGACAGGUGUGUGUGCCUCUUUUACAGGCUUCAUAGUCCAGAAUGAACAGGUUUCAGAUGCAACUUCAGAGGUUCAGAGUUUUAAAUUUCCUCUGAUUGUCUUCUAAAAAUGUUCAUGCCUUUUAACCCGUAGCCCUUUGCUAUAACACCAAGAUGUAAAUCCGUUCCAGUUGUUUUACAGAUGCCUGCAGGUUCCUGGGGGAAAGAGCUGGGCUACUGUGUCAAGAAAUCUGCCUGAUGGAAAUUAAUAUCAGUCUCCAGAGCCUGUUUUGACCCACCUAUUUUCAAGCAUAUUUUGCAGGUUCACUCUUCCUGAAGAUGGUCUAUCUCCCGUGAGAAAGGCUCUUUGCUGGCCUGGAGCUCAUCAGGGAACCCUGGGGUAGGGUGGGGGAUCAACAGUCAGCUGCACUGUGCCCUGAAUUUUCAAGUUGGUUCUGUGGAAUCACACUCAGCCAGGCAGGUUCCUUACCAACGGAGCCCUCUCCUGAGCCCUAAGCUUUCUUCUCGUGUCUUGUUUUUUGAGAUGUGGUGGUGUUAGUGGUGUCUCAUGUAGCCCAGAUUGGCCUCCCAAGGUCUUUUUGGCAGAAGAUGACUUUCUGAUCCUCCUGCCUCUGCUUCCCAAGUGCUGGGAUUCCAGGCUUGUUCCACUCUGCCUGGCCCUCGAUACAACUUUUUCCAUUCCAGUGGUUCUCCGACCCUGUGACACAGUUCCUCAGUUGUGGUGGCCCUCCAGUCAAAAAAUUAUUUUCCUUGCUACUUCAUAACUGUAAUUUUACUGUUAUAAAUUGUGAUGUAAAUAUCUGUGUUUUCUGAUGUUCUUGGGCAACCACUGUGAAAAGGUCGUUUGAUCCCCCAAGGGAUCAAAACCCACUGGUUGGGAACUGCUGUUCCUAUUUCAAAAAGAAAUGCAACAAUAGA